GUGAAUCAUCGAAUUUUUGAACGCAAAUUGCACUCCCUGGUAUUCCGGGGAGCAUGCCUGUUUGAGGGUCGUUAGAACCAUAAUCGAGGCGUUGCUGUUUUUUUUUAAGGGCGAUCGCUUCGGAAUUGAGCCGUCUUUCAAAUGUUACUUCAUGUCAAAGUGGCUUAAAAUUCAUCCAUCCGGUACGAUUAAAGCGUUUUUAAGAUCAAUUUUGUUCAAGAACG
rnacentral:misc_RNA from 1 species